rnacentral:rRNA from 1 species
UACGAGGGGUCCAAGCGUUGUUCGGAAUCACUGGGCGUAAAGCGGGUGUAGGUGGCCUGCCAAGUUGGAUGUGAAAGCCCCGGGCUCAACCCGGGAAGUGCAUCCAAAACUAGCAGGCUUGAGUAAGGGAGAGGAUGGUAGAAUUCUUGGUGUAGUGGUGAAAUACGUAGAUAUCAAGAGGAACACCGGUGGCGAAGGCGGCCAUCUGGCCCAUUACUGACACUCAGACCCGAAAGCGUGGGUAGCAAACAGG